GAGGAAGCAAAACUGAAAGAGUUUUACCAAUGUACAUAGAACAUCUAUAUUAAAAAGGACUAAUUCCUUGCUUUACGAAAUGAUGUGAAAACCUCAUUAGUGAUUCUUUCUUCGAAGUACUACUCUUCAAAGUUGUGAUGGUUAAUUUGAGUGUCAACUUGAUUGGAUUGAAGGAUUCAAAAUAUUGUUCCUGGAUGUGUCUAUGAGGGUGUUGCCAAAGGAGAUUAACAUUUGAGUCAGUGAACUGAAAGAGGCAGACCCACCCUCAAUUCAGGUGGGCCUCCAUCUAAUCAACUGCCAGUGGGGUUAGGAUAAAAGAAGGCAGAAGAACGCGGAAGGACUGGACAAGCUGAAUCUUCUGGCCUCCAUCUUUCACCUGUGCUGGAUCCUUCCUGCCCUCGAACAUCAGACUCCAAGUUCUUCAGCUUAUAAACUCUUGGACUUACACCAGCGAUUUCCCUGGGGCUCUUGGGCCUUCAGCCACAGACUGAACGCUGCAACUAUUGCCUUCCCUAUUUUUGAGGUGUUGAGACUUGCACUGGCUUCCUGGCUCCUCAUCUUGCAGAUGGCCUGUUGUGGGACUUCACCUUGUGAUCCUGUGAAUCAAUUAUCUUAAUAAACUCCCCUUCAGAUAUUCAUCUACUAAGGAAUUCAUCUACUAAGGAAUAUUCACCCUUAUUUUGUUAAGAACAUGUUUGUACAUGUAUACAGUUGUACUAAGAAAAUAUCUUUAUUUCCUUUUUUUCUUUAUCAUGUGACAUAAGAUUUAUUGACUUCAUAUCAGCAUUUAAAUGUUGUUAACUUUAUAUAAUAGCAUUUAGGUUAAUGAUUAGUGUGCUUCUGGUUGUAAGAAGGAUAACUGUACUAUGUUAGGCAUAAUUAUGACCUUAUUAUUGUCUUCAUUUGGUGAUUAUGUAUGAUUUCAGGAGAUGUGUGUGGGUUCAAGUUGACAAAGGGUAGACUUGUGAUGGUUAAUACUGAGUGUCAACUUGAUUGGACUGAAGGAUGCAAAUCAUUGUUCCUGGGUGUGUCCGUGAGGGUGUUGCCAAAGCAGAUUAACAUUUGAGUCAGUAGAAUGGGAGAGGCAGACUCACCCUCAGUCUGGGUGGGCACCAUCUAAUCAGCUGCCAGCGUGGCUAGGACAAAAGCAGGCAGAGGAACGUGGAAGGAAUAAGCUCACUGAGUCUUCCUGCCUUCAUCAUUCCCUUGUGCUGGAUGGAUAUUUCCUUCCCUCAAACAUCAGACCCCAAGUUCUUCAGGUUUUGGACUCUUGGACUUAGACCAGUGAUUUACCAGGGACUCUCGGUCCUUCUGCCACAGGCUGAAGGUUGCACUAUUGGCUUCCCUACUUUUGAGGUUUUGGGACUCCGACUGGCUUCCUGGCUCCUCACCUUGCAGAUGGUCUAUUGUGGGACCUCAUCUUGUGAUCAUGUCUCAGUAUGUUGCUCAGACUGGUCUUGAACUCCUGGCCUCAAGUGAUCCUCCCACCUCAGCCUCUUGAGUAGCUGGGACUACAGUUGCAAGCCAUCCUGUCUGGCUAGUUAUCUUUAAUUAAUGACAUUUGUUAAAGUAACACAAAAAUCCUAGAAACAUUUGCCUGUUGAAACUUUCUGAUAAUUUGAAUGAAGUAAAGUUUGGAGUCUCUGUCUCAUUGAAAAUACUCAAGGUUAAUAUAAUAAAAACAGCAAAGCAGUAAUGCAUAAAAGAAUUAUUAGAAGUCUAAUAAAAUUAUUUGGACCUCCAACUAUAGCAACACUGAUUAAUGACUGCUUUUUAAUUAAUUGAAAGUUGUUCAAUCAUCGUGCCAUUUCAUUUCACCUGAGAGUUUUUAUAAAAGGGUCAGAGCCAAAACAUAUGCUAGUUCAAUUUGCAAUAAGGUAUACUUAAGCAAUUUCAUUCUUCUUGGCAGGGCAAGUGUGGGCUAUUCAUUUCUCAUUUAUUCACGGUGAUGAUAUUCCCUGUUCAGCUGGCUAGUGUGAUCAAGGAAGACAG
rnacentral:lncRNA from 1 species